CUUCAUCCUCCCUUCUCUACAUAACCCGUUAAUAACGACAUUGUAAGAAAUCAAAUUCGGCUCUAAACCCUUCAACGCCAUUGAUCUCAAAAGCUCAAACCCAUCAUCAAUCUUACGCAACUUACAAUACCCAUCAAUCAAAGUGUUGUAAGUAACAACAUUAGGUAAAUAACCUUUCUUCUCCAUUCGAUCGAAAAACCGCAGAGCAGCAUCUAAAUUCCCAGCAAAGCAAAACCCUCUAAUCAAGAUAUUGUAAGUAAACACAUUAGGAGAGACUUGGCUAUCCAACAUUUCCUUGAACACAUCCUCAGCAAAGCUAAUGUUUCUCUUAGAUCUAAUCGUAGCAUCUAACACCGCAUUGUAAGACAAAACUCCAGGCAUAAAGCCAUGAGCUUGAGCAAGACGAACAAUACUCAGAGCCUUAUCAAUCAAACUCAAACGAGAGUAAGACUUCACUACCAAAUCGAAAACAGAGGAAGUCGAAUUGCACAAAUCGUAAGACUCCUUUAGCGAUCUGAAGACGAGGGAAGCAUCUUCGUCGUCUAGGGUCUUGGCCGCGACAUCUUCCGCGAGGGUUUGAGCUGUUUUGUAAAGUUUGAAUUUGGUGAGGAUGUGGAGAGUGAUGCAUUUGCAACGGAGAGUGAAGAAUCGAUGUGGGUUUGCCCAAUUUAGGAACUUUAGGACUAAUUCUUGAUCGUUCUGAGAUUUGAGGAGAAGAUUCGAAGCUGCUUCUGGCGUGAAAUUUGCAGAGAGGUGAUGAAGCUGGUAAGGAUGACGUCUGAGAAAGGUUACAGCUUUAUCGGCAAGAAGUGAAUCUGAAGAAGAAGCGAAGCUAGAGAACGAUCGUCGAAUUAGGGUUUUAGAGAGAAACAUUGACGGAUUUGAAUUUAGGGGGUUUAGCCUUUUCGGAGGAGAAAAGCUCGCUCGAAGAAGACGAUGCACAAUUGAUCGCAGCCAUCCAUUUGUGUUCUUAUAAGAUGUCAUCUCAGCCGUCCAUUGUGUUCUAUCAAGAUGUCAUCUCAGCCGUCAAUUUACUUCUGAUAAAGAUUUCAUCUCAGCCGUCAAUUGACUUCUUAUAAAGAUGUCAUCUCAGCCGUCAAUUGAGUUCUUAUAAAUAUGUCAUCUCAGCCGUCCAUUGAGUUCUUAUAAAUAUGUCAUCUCAGCCGUCCAUUAAGUUCUGGAAUCUUGUAAUUAUUUUAGCUUAUUACAUUUGUUUAAUACAAAUGAGGAUUAAAUUUUGAUAAUAAUAUUCUAUAUAAAAUAUAAUAAUUUUCUAAAAUAUGAAAAUAAAUUUUCUUAAAAUAUGAAAAUAAAUUUUUACAUUAAAUAGGAAUUCCUGUAUUUUAGAUAUACAAAUAGUCUAGAUAUAGAUAAAAAAAUCCAUUUACAAAUAGUCAAAUGCACCGGUCAUGAGCUAACAAAUUGUACAAUUGUCUUUUAGACAUAAAAACAAUUUCGAAUUAAGUGGGAUGACUGAAAUGGAAAUCAUAUUAAGAAAAAAAUAUCUUUUGUCAAAUUUUCCUUCCUAAACCUACCAAUUAAGGAAUUAGUCAAAAAAAUUGUAAAUUUAUCAUCAUCCAAAAUAUUAAAUAAAAACCAAAUAUGUGGUCAAAGUUAUCCAAGCAUUUGUUUCGUGGUUAUCUAAAAGUAAAAAUGUAAUAUUAUAUAUAACAGUAGUUUGUCAUCUACUAAUUCACAGUAUUAGCGACGCAACAUUUUUCUAGUUAUUCUAAGAGUUAAAUCAGGAUUCGAGCGUCGUUCCAAUGGCAUCUGCUUUGUCAUCUUUCAAAGUACACACCAACUCUUAUCUUUUUUGCUUACUCUUAUAACUAAGUAUGUAGUUCAAUCUUUGUCUUCACCAUCAAUCAUCAAUCUUUGUCUAACAAACAUCAAAAGAGUUCUUAAAACAUAUGUGUGUGUGUAUUAUUUUUUAAUUCUCUCUUCUUAGUUUUGGAGGAGACUCGUUUUAAAUAAGAUAUUCACUUGUAACGUUUAUUGCAGAGACCAGUUAAUGGGGUUGGAGCAAACAAUGCAUUAUCAUUGAGAGAGACGCAACAAGAGGAGAGAAAGAGUCCAUAUCUUGGUGGUAGAGGACACUGGACACAGUCACAAGAUCUCAAACUCAUAGAGCUCGUGGAGGCUUAUGGUCUUGACAAUUGGGAUCUCAUUGGAGAGAAGAUGCAAGCAAGAACAGGUAAGAGUUGCAGAUUUAGGUGGUUGAACCAGCUCGAUCCAACAAUUAACAAGGCACCUUUCACUGUGGAGGAAGAAAAGAUAAUGGUAUCAGCUCACAAUUUCUAUGGCAACAAAUGGUCGAAGAUUGCUAAACACCUUAAAGGAAGAACAGACAUUGAUGUGAAGAAUCAUUGGAACGUUCAUAUGAACAGAACCGCAUGGAGAAGCCAAACUAAAACUAAGAAAAGAUGUUUCACUGCCGCUCUCAAUCCAUAUGGCUACCAUGUUCCUGGUAUGUGUCUUCUUUAAACUAAACAAUCUCAUUUCAGAUCUCCAUUAGAUUUAGAACAGCACACAGUAAAAAGGGUUCAAUUCUUGAACUUUCUUGAUAUUGUGUGGUUUACAGGUAAUCCGAGUUAUGAAGGUAUCGGGAUCAAGAAGAACUGCAGCCGCAAUAUGCGAAAUGAGGAAACGACUAACCUCUAUGCUCAUCCUCGCAUGCCAGUGCAACUCUCAGGACAUCACCAUCACUUCCCUAUCUUUCCUGCAAGUGAUUCCUUGGCACUAUCCACACAGCUCUCCAUCUCCCAACCAUCAUCAUCACCAGAAGCAGCAGAUGUAAAGAUCAGAAAAACCCCGAAAUUUAUCGAUUUUCUCGGGGUAGGAGAUUCUUGAAGAAACGACUUAAGAACUUUGUAAUCAUGUAACCUUUAAUCCCUAUGAUGAGAAACGACUUAAGAACUUUGUAUUCAUGUAACAUAGCAAGGUUGCAAUUUAUACAAACAGAGAAAAGCAAGAGUUUGUAUUUCUGUUGUAAUUCUCACAUCCUAACAUUUGUUUCACUUUAAAUUUCCCAGCCUUACACAUACUAUGUAUUAGUGAAGUAUAAGUGAUAACACUAGGUGACAACCCAUGUCUCAACAUCUCUGCAUGCAUCACAAGAGCUUGAUGAAAGUUACCUUCUUUACAAUGACCUUUCUCAUUCAUCUCCGUAAGUACAAAACUUGUCUCCUUCAUCCUCCCUUCUCUACAUAACCCGUUAAUAACGACACUGUAAGAAAUCAAAUUCGGCUCUAAGCCCUUCAACAACAUUGAUCUCAAAAGCUCAAACCCAUCAUCAAUCUUACGCAACUUACAAUACCCACCAAUCAAAGUGUUGUAAGUAACAACAUUAGGUAAACAACCUUUCUUCUCCAUUCGAUCGAAAAACCGCAGAGCAGCAUCUAAAUUCCCAGCAAAGCAAAACCCUCUAAUCAAGAUAUUGUAAGUAAACACACUAGGAGAGACUUGGCUAUCCAACAUUUCCUUGAACACAUCCUCAGCAAAGCUAAUGUUUCUCUUAGAUCUAAUCGUAGCAUCAAAAACCGCAUUGUAAGACAAACUCCAGGCAUAAAUCCAUGAGCUUGAGCAAGACGAACAAUACUUAGAGCCUUAUCAAUCAAACUCAAACGAGAGUAAGACUUCACUACCAAAUCGAAAACAGAGGAAGUCGAAUUGCACAAAUCGUAAGUUUCCUUUAGCGAUCUGAAGACGAGGGAAGCAUCUUCGUCGUCUAGGGUCUUGGCCGCGACAUCUUCCGCGAGGGUUUGAGCUGUUUUGUAGAGUUUGAAUUUGGUGAGGAUGUGGAGAGUGAUGCAUUUGCAACGGAGAGUGAAGAAUCGAUAUGGGUUCGCCCAAUUUAGGAACUUUAGGACUAAUUCUUAAUCGUUCUGAGAUUUGAGGAGAAGACUCGAAGCUGCUUCUGGAGUGAAAUUUGCAGAGAGGUGAUGAAGCUGGUAAGGGUGACGUCUGAGAAAGUUUAAAGCUUUAUCGGCAAGAAGUGAAUCUGAAGAAGAAGCGAAGCUAGAGAACGAUCGUCGAAUUAGUGUUUUAGAGAGAAUCAUUGACGGAUUUGAAUUUAGGGGUUUAGCCUUUUAGGGAGGGGUUUAGGAGGAGAAAGGCUCGGAGAAGACGACGAACAAUUGAUAGCAGCCGUCCAUCGUGUUCUUACAAGAUCUCAUCUCAGCCGUCAAUUGAGUUGUUAUAAAGAUGUCAUCUCAGCCGUCCAUUGCGUUCUUAUCAAGAUGUCAUCGCAGCCGUCAAUUUAGUUGUUAUAAAGAUGUCAUCUCAGCCGUCAAUUGAGUUCUAGAAUCUUGUAAUUGUUUUAGUUUAUUACAUACAUUUGGUUAAUUCAAAUGAGGAUUAAUUUUGAGAAAAAAAUUCUUAUAAAAAUAUAAAUUUUAAAAUAUGAAAAAUAAAAUUCUACUUUUAAUAUGAAUUCCUAUGUUUUAGAUAUACAUAUAGUAUAUAUAUAUACUAGUUUACUACCCGUCCGAUGGACGGGUUAUCUUUAUUUAAAAUUAAAUUAAAAUUAAAAUUUAUUAUAACUUACAAGAAAAUAAUUUCCAAAUUUUUUUUGAAAAAAUAAGAGAAAUUAAUUUCAUUUGGAAAGAGAUUUUAUUUGGUUUGAAGUAUCAAACAAACGUAUAUAUAUAUAUCUCUCUCUAAAAAUUCGUUAUUAAACAUUAAUUAUAAAAAUCUAGUAAUGUCAAAUUGACAAUCACCAAAACAUUUGGGAGCUAUUCACCAUUAAUCAUAAUAUUGCUAAAAUAUUUAAAAAAAAUCUUAAUUUAGCAAUUAUCCUCUAAAACAUGAUUAUACCAUUUUGUAAAAAAAUUUAUUUCUUAACUUUCAAUUUUUUUAAAAAAUCAUUCUCAGACUAUGAAAAUUAAUUAAUUAUUAUUUAAUAUGAUGGUAAAGUUCUUUCACAUUAACAUCAAUCUAAAUAAUGAUGUUAAAUACAAAUAUAGUCAUUUGUAAAUAAAUUCAUAUAAACAACGCAAAUAAACAUAAAGAUUCUAAAAUAAAUUAUAGCAUCGUUGAGGAAAACAUUAAAAAAUCUUUCAAAUACGAAUUAUAAAAAACUACAUAUUUUCUUUAAAAAUAUUUUAAAAUUACUAUAUUACGAUUUAUAUUGAACUUUGUCAGCUUUAAUUUAAGAUAAAAAAUAUUAUUUUCGAAAAUCUUUUAUUCACCCUUAUGUUUUAGACAAUGAAAUUGCUCAAUGGCAUAAUACAUUUAUAAAUAAAUUAAAAACUAAACAAAUUUAACAUAUUAUAAAUAAAAAUCAUGAAUAAAAUUAUGUAUUUAGUUAAACUCAAAAUCUAAUUUAUUUGUAAACUGUAAAUCCUAAAUCUCCUUUAUGAACCCAAACUGAUAAAAACCUUGUUUAAUUGUAAAACCUAAAUCUCACUCCUCUUUAAUAAACUAAAACCGAUAAAUAAUCUCGUUUAAUUAUAAAAUUUAAACUAUAAUGCAGAUUUAUAAACUCAACAUAUAACCCUUAUAAUUGUAAAACCUAGAACUGGCAAAACCAAAAAUUAUGUUAAUAGUUGAAAGAGAAUUUUUGAGAAAUAUCACUUCUGGUGUACCCUUUUUUAAAAAUACACCAAUUUUCUAUCAUUUUUAAAAAAAUAUACCUUUUCAAAUCUGGAAAAUUGUAAACUUUUAUAUAGUUUAUAAGAUACAUCUAGAUUAUCAUUACUAUUGGGAGACUCAAUACAAAUAUUUAUAAAGUUUUAAAAAGGUUCUAAACGGCAUUUAUAAGACUUUUAUAAGGUUUUUAUAAGGUUUACAGAGUUUUUAUAUGUUUUUAAAAUAGUUUUUAAAAGGUUUUUAAAAGGUAUUUAUAUGGUAUUUAAAUUUACACACAUAGAAAGAUAAUUUGUGUCUAAAUAUAUAAGCUUACACAUUUUUUUUUAUAAAUAUCAAUUUUUUUACUUUUUAAUUAUCAAAAAUACCCUUUUUCCAUACCACUUUUUAAAAAUAUCCCUAUUCCAAACUUCAUAAAAAACCACUUUAAAUGUUGAAAUUUAUCCAAAUAUGUGUGUAAACUUAUAAAUAUACACACAAAUUACCUUUAUAUAUGUUUAUAUUUUUAUAUAUAUUUCAUAAAUAGCGUAAAAUAAAUUAUAAAUACCUUUUAAAAACCACUUAAAAACCUUAUAAAACUUGUAAAAACUAUUUAAAACCUUUUAAAACAGUAUAAAAUAUUUGUAUAAAAUUUCCAAAUAGUAGUUAUUAUAAAGAAGUACCUUAUAAACCAUAUAAUACUUUAGAAUUUUUCAUAUUUAAACAUGGAUAUUUUUGAAAAUGGAUAGAUAAAGGAGAUAUUUUUGAAAAGGGGUACACCAAAAGGGGUACACCAAAAGGGGUAUUUCUCAAAAAUUCUCUUUAAUUUUUUAUAAUUACUUUUUUUACUGUUGUUUAAAAAUUCUAUUUGUAUCUUAAUAUUAACAAAAUUAGAUAAAACAUGUUGCGACAUCUUAUGUUUUUGCUUGACACUUAUCAUGGUCACGUGAGUUAGUAAAUUUAAAAACUAAGUUUCGACAUAUAAUCUCGUUUAAUUGUUAAAAUUAAACCAUAAUUUUAAUUUAUAAAGAUAAACCAUAAUUCUUAUUUAUCAUUUAUAUACCCAAACCAACAAAUAACCUGAUUUAAUUGUAAAAUUAAAGUUUAAACCUUAAUCCUCUUCUGUAAACAAAAACCACCAUAUAUUCUUGUUAAUUAUAUAUUUUAAAUCCCUAUCUUAUUAAUAAACCAAAUUGACAUAACUGAAAUUAGAUUAUUUGUUUAAUUUUAUUAAUAAUUUUUAAUAUAUAAUUCUUUAUAAUAUUUAGUUUAUAUAUUUCAUUUUUCGAUAGGAUUAAUAAUAUUUCUAUUUUAUCCAAAUAUUAACUAAAUUAGUUACGACACGUGUCAACAUCUUAUCGUUUAUAAUUGACACGUGUCAUGAUCUUCUUUAUAAUAUUUAUUUUAUAUAUUUCAUUUUUCGAUAGGGUUAAUAAUAUUUCUAUUUUAUCCAAAUAUUAACUAAAUUAGUUACGACACGUGUCAACAUCUUAUCGUUUAUAAUUGACACGUGUCACGAUCUUGUUAAUGGCUGACUUUGAAAACCAAGGUUUAUAUAAUAAGAUAUAUUGUCAUAUAGUAUAUAUAUAUAUAUAUAUAUAUAUAUUUUGUCAUAUAGAUAAAUUUUUUUUUAUAAAUACACCAUAGUCAUGAGCUAUUAAAUUUUUCAAUUUUCUUUUAAGAAUUAAAAAAAUAAGAAUUAAUUGAGAUAACUCAAAUUGAAACCGUAUUUAGAAUGUAAUAAUUUUCAAAAACAUUUCCUACGUAAACCUACCAAUAAAAGAAUUAGUCAAAAUAUGUGAAUUUAUUAUCAUCCAAAAGUUAUUAUACACCAAAAAUGUAGUCAAAAGUAUCAAAGCAUUUGUUUUGUGGUUAUCUAAAAGUAAAAAUGCUAUAUUAUAUAUAUAGUAGUAGUAGUUCUUCAUCGACUAAUUCACAGUAUUGGUGAGCUCCAUUUUUCUAAUUAACUAAGAAUUAAACUGAGAUUCGAGUGUCAUUCCAAUGGAGUCUACUUUGUCAGCUUUCAAGGUACAAACAAAAAAUAUCUUUUUGGCUUACUCUAGUUCAAUCUUUGUCUUCACCAUCAACCAUCAAUCUUUGUCUUCACCAUCAAUCAUCAAUCUUUGUUUAACAAACAUCUUUUGAAUUGAUAUUAUAAACAAGUCAAAAGACUGAAACUGUUCUUAACAUAUGUGUGUGUGUAUUUUUUUUUCAAUUCUCUCUUAUUAGUUUUGGAGGAGACUCGUUUUAAAUAAGAUACACUUAUGAUGUUUAUUACAGAGACCAGUUAAUGGGGUUGGAGCAAACAAUGCAUUACCAUUGAGAGAGACACAACAAGAGGAGAGAAAGAGUCCAUAUCGUGGUAGUAAAGGACACUGGACACAGUCACAAGAUCUCAAACUCAUAGAGCUCGUGGAGGCUUACGGUCUUGAGAAUUGGGAUCUCAUUGCAGAGAAGAUGGAAGCAAGAACAGGUAAGAGUUGCAGAUUUAGGUGGUUUAACCAGCUCGAUCCAACGAUUGACAAGACACCUUUCACUGUGGAGGAAGAAAAAAUAAUGGUAUCAGCUCACAAUUUCUAUGGCAACAAAUGGUCGAAGAUUGCUAAACACCUAAAAGGAAGAACAGACAUUGAUGUGAAGAAUCAUUGGAACGCUCAUAUGAACAGAACCGCAUGGAGGCCAAAAACAAAACCUAACAGAAGAUUAUUCACUACCUCCCUGAAUCCAUAUGGCUACUCUGUUCCUGGUUUGUGUCUUCUUUAAACUAAAACAAUCUCAUAGAUUCCGUUUCAACUCUCUAAUAGAUUUAGAACACCAAACAGGACAAAAGGGUUCAAUUCUUGAGUUUUCUUGAUAUUGUGUGGUUUACAGGUAAUGUGAGUUAUGAAGGUAUCGGGAUCAAGAACUGUAGCAGUAAUAUGCGAAAUGAGGAAACGACUAACCUCUAUCCUCAUCCUCGCAUGCCAGUGCAACUCUCUGGUCAUCACCAUCACUUCCCUAUCUUCCCGGCAAGUGGUUCCUUGGCACUAUCCACAGAGCUCUCCAUCUCCCAACCAUCAUCAUCACCAGAAGCAGCAGAUGUAAUGAUCAGAAAAACCCCGGAAUUUAUCGAUUUUCUCGGGGUAGGAGAUUCUUGAAGAAUUUGUAUUCAUGUAACCUUUAAUCCCUAUGAUGAGAAACGACUUAAGAACUUUGUAUUCAUGUAACAUAACAAGGUUGCAUUUUUUACAAACAGAGAAAAGCAAGAGUUUGUAUUUCUGUUGUAAUUCUCACAUCCUAACCUUUGUUUCACUUUCAAUUUCCAGCCUUACACAUACUAUUUCCCAGCCUUUCGGUAUCCAGGUUCAUAUUCCCAGCCUUACUCAUACUAUGUAUUAGUGAAGUAUAAGUAAGUGAUAACACUAGGUGACAACCCAUGUCUCAACAUCUCUGCAUGCAUCACAAGAGCUUGAUGAAAGUUACCUUCUUUACAAUGACCUUUAAUAAGCGUAUUUCAAGUGACUUCAUCAAGCGAAUAUCCUUUCUCAUUCAUCUCCGUAAGUACAAAACUUGUCUCCUUCAUCCUCCCUUCUCUACAUAACCCGUUAAUAACGACAUUGUAAGAAAUCAAAUUCGGCUCUAAACGCCAUUGAUCUCAAAAGCUCAAACCCAUCAUCAAUCUUACGCAACUUACAAUACCCAUCAAUCAAAGUGUUGUAAGUAACAACAUUAGGUAAACAACCUCUCUUCUCUAUUCGAUCGAAAAACCGCAGAGCAGCAUCUAAAUUCCCAGCAAAGCAAAACCCUCUAAUCAAGAUAUUGUAAGUAAACACAUUAGGAGAGACUUGGCUAUCCAACAUUUCCUUGAACACAUCCUCAGCAAAGCUAAUGUUUCUCUUAGAUCAAAUCUUAGCAUCUAACACCGCAUUGUAAGACAAAACUCCAGGCAUAAAGCCAUGAGCUUGAGCAAGACGAACAAUACUCAGAGCCUUUUUAAUCAAACUCAAACGAGAGUAAGAUUGUACUACCAAAUCGAAAACAGAGGAAGUGGAAUUGCACAAAUCGUAAGACUCCUUUAGCGAUCUGAAGACGAGGGAAGCAUCUUCGUCGUCUAGGGUCUUGGCCGCGACAUCUUCCGUGAGGGAUUGAGCUGUUUUGUAGAGUUUGAAUUUGGUGAGGAUGUGGAGAAUGAUGCAUUUGCAACGGAGAGUGAUAAUCGAUGUGGUUUUGCCCAAUUUAGGAACUUUAGAACCAAUUCUUGAUCGUUCUGAGAUUUGAAGAGAAGAUUCGAAGCUGUUUCUGCAGUGAAAUUUGCAGAGGUGAGGGUGAUGUCUGAGAAAGGUUAAAGCUUUAUCGCCAAGAAGUGAAUCUGAAGAAGAAGCGAAGGGUGAUGUCUGAGAACGAUCGUCCGAUUACGGUUUUAGAGAGAAACAUUGACGGAUUUGAAUUUAGGGGUUUAGCCUUUUAGGGAGGGGUUUAGGAGGAGAAAGGCUCGAAGA
rnacentral:lncRNA from 1 species